CACGUAGUUAGCCGUCCCUUUCUGGUAAGCUACCGUCACAGUGUGAACUUUCCACUCUCACACCCGUUCCUGACUUACAACAGAGCUUUACGAUCCGAAAACCUUCUUCACUCACGCGGCGUUGCUCGGUCAGGGUUGCCCCCAUUGCCGAAGAUUCCCUACUGCUGCCUCCCGUAGGAGUCUGGGCCGUGUCUCAGUCCCAGUGUGGCCGAUCACCCUCUCAGGUCGGCUAUGUAUCGUCGCCUAGGUGAGCCAUUACCUCACCUACUAGCUAAUACAACGCAGGUCCAUCUUGUAGUGGAGCAAUUGCCCCUUUCAAAUAAAUGACAUGUGUCAUCCAUUGUUAUGCGGUAUUAGCUAUCGUUUCCAAUAGUUAUCCCCCGCUACAAGGCAGGUUACCUACGCGUUACUCACCCGUUCGCAACUCAUCCAAGAAGAGCAAGCUCCUCUCUUCAGCGUUCUACUUGCAUGUAUUAGGCACGCCGCCAGCGUUCGU
rnacentral:rRNA from 1 species